UUGCUCUUGUGGAUAUCAACACUUCUACUUUCAUUGUCGAUUUAUGGGAGCUUCUUGUGGAUUUCUAGAUGUUGUACUAGUUACAAAUGUUCAAGAUUUAUUCAAGGUCUAUAGCAGUAACUAGUAGAUGCUCGCCACUAAACUAAAAACAAGACCCCUUUGAGAAUUUCUAGUUUUAUGAUGAACUGUCUACAAGGUUUUUGUGUGUAUGGAUUAAUUGAAAUAACAUAAAGAUGUUUUGUUAC